GACCUCUGCUGGCUCACAUGGUUGCAGGGGCUGACGAAACCAAAAUAUGCAGGUUAGGCAGCAGGGAGGAGGCCUCUGCUGGCUUAUGUCCCAAGACCGGAAGUCAAACUUCUAGAAGAUUGCAAGCUGAUAUGCUGACAUGGAAAAAUCCAGAAGGUAUAAAAGAAUAUAUACUGAAAGCCUACCUCCUUCCUUGUCCUCCAGCAACCCAAUUCUCUACCUGGAAGGCAAACCAGUUCCCAGUUUCCUUGUCUCCUUACAGAGAUAACUUGUUUCCAGAGCUGGACCAAAACCUGAGAUUAAUAGGUAGGGGUUGACCAGACCA